rnacentral:lncRNA from 1 species
CAAACAACAAAAAAAAGAGUGAAAAUAUUGUCUUGUGAUCCACAUUGAGCUCCCUAGUCAUUUCUCUGGAUGCAGACGGCUCUCUCCACCACAAGUUUAUUAGAACUGGCAUGAAUCACCUCAUGUUGAAAAAUUUACCCUCUCCUAUUAAGAUUCAAGACUGUUAACCCAUUUGCUAGUUUCAGCAGGAACUAAGGAUUAUGGUAGGAUAGUUGUUCAGUUGUUUCAAUCUGACUCUUCAUAAUCUCAUUUAGGGUUUUCUUGGUAAAGAUAACAGAAGGGGUUUGCCAUUUCUUUCUCCAGCUCAUUUUAUAGAUAAAGAAACUGCGGCAAAAAGGAUGAAGUUACUUACCUAGGGUCACAUAAGUAGUAAGUUUCUGAAGUUUGGAAAAUGAGUUUUACUAAUACCAAGCCCAAUGGUAUCCAGACUGUAUCCAGUUCAAAGACCAGAUUUCUGCCUGCAGGGAAUAUUGUACUAGAGUUGAACAGGAACCCUCCCCCUCUGACCUACAGUUCCUUUUCUCUUCCCCCUAUCAUUGUGUAACAGGUGUCUGGCAAAAAUGGUGGGAAAUAUUUGAGGAUCCAGAGAUGGGAGUAAUAAAUGAGCACAGACAGAAUGGUAGCCAAAUCUAACCUAAUUUAUUGCAAUCAAAGAUGAUCGAUCUCUAACUCCCAAAAUGAUUCACUACUGCAAGGUGUUCCAUGGCAAGUUCUGAUUUAGGGUCCAAAGGGAGCUUAUCGAUUCUACAAUAGACAGCUAGGUGGUUCAGUAGAAUAGAACCAGGAGUCUGAAGUCAGAAAAACACAAGUUCAAAUGCGACCUCACAUACUUGCAAACUGUGUGACCCUGGGCAGGCCACUUACCCUCUGUUUUCCUUAAUUUCCUCAUCUGUAAAAUGAAGAUAAUAAUAGCACCUACGCCCUAGGGUUGUGAAGAUCAAAUGAAAUAAUAGUACUGAUCUUCAUGUCUAGCACAUAAUUAGCACUAUAUAAAUGUUAACAAUUAUUAUUAUGUGGUCUAUCUGUAAAUAUACUAAAACUCCUACUGUCUAAUCAUGUCAAAACCAUUUAUGCUUAGAAAGUUGAUUUUGUGAGCCCAGGCAAACUUCCAUUUAUCCCUAUUGAAUUUACUUUUAUUAGAUUCAGCCCAAUGCUCUAGCCUGUCAAGAUCUUUUUGGAUAACAGUCAUCCAGUGUGUUAAUUCUCUCUCCUAAUUUUGUAUUGUCUGCAAAUUUGAUGAGUGUGACAUAUAUGCAUUUAUCUAAGUCAUGGAUUAAAAUGUUAAAAGGUACCAGGGUCAAUCACAGAUUCUUUGGACCCACUGUCAGAGACUUCUUGCCAUGUUAACAUUGAACCCUUCAAACUAAUUUGAGUCUAGACAUUCAACCAUCUAACUGUAUAUCUUCACACUUCUCCAGUCUUUUUUGAAAAAAUAGCAUGAGAUGCUUUAAUAGAAGUUUUGCUAAAAGUGAGAUAAGUGAUAACUACUACAUCCUAUAAUCUAUCAGUUUAAUAAGACUCAAAUAAAGGAAAAACUUUUUAAUUGAAUCUCUAGGAUUUUCCAAAUAUAUAUCAUCAUAUCAUCUGCAGAGAGAAUUUUAUUACCUUUGUCCAUUCUGAUUCCUCCAAUUUCUUUUUCUUCUUUUAUCACUAUUGCUAGCAUUUCUAAUAACAUAUUGAAUGAUAUUGGUGAUAAUAGACAUCUUUGUUUCAUUCCUGAUCUUAUCGAAAUUCCUGUUACAAAAAAAUGCUUGCUGAUGGUUUUAAGUAGAUACUUAUCAUUUUAAGGGG